ACUACAGACUCUUGUGACCUAUAAAAUACUAUCAACUAGAUUUCGAAGAAGCUAGCUAGAUGUCCGACUCGAAUCAACUGAUCGGAACAAUGUUUACGUUCAGUGAUUUUCGAUUAAGAAAAACAAAUAAACAAAACCCUUAUGACUCUUAGUCUGCAACUACUGAAAUAAGCUCCAGUCAAACUUCAGAGGCGGAUUCGUUGGAAUGGGAUAUCCUUUUAUUUUAAAAUUGUAUGUACGAGUGUGCUGAAUAAAUGAGAUUGAUUUCACA